ensembl:snoRNA
GGGAUGUGCUCAGAGCAGGGGCCCUGCAGACUGGCUCCCCUGUUUAAACACUCCCCACAGCAACUUGGGGUCAUUGUGAGGAGAACCACAAAAUGUGUGGCCUUGCUCUGAACAAAGGCUCUACAUGU